UUGCAGAUAAUCCCAGGAGAUUAAUUAACCGCUUGGCCAUUCCAGUACAGUAUACUGUGAUCUAUGUUGUUGCUUAUUCACCUCUAAUUGUGGAUGUCUGGAAUGAAAAGACAAUACUGAAAAAGUGGGGACAAAUUUUACAAAAAGCCCUUCUAAUGAUUUCAAUGAUGGGGCCACUUCUGAUUCUUUUGAAUGUUAUGUAUGUAGCAUGCAGUAGGUGGAUUCCACAAAAACAAAUAGACGUUUUUUAUUUUGCUGCAACAAUCAGCAACGCUCUGCGAAUAAAUGUUAUAAUAUUCUAUGGACUUAAUCUAAAAUUCUUGACUGUGGAAGUAUUUCCAUUUUUAGCAGUAAUCUUUUUUUACUGUC